AGAGCUUUCGCUGUGUCCUGCUGAUUGUGCUGAUAAUCAUAAAUUAGUUUGUGUCCAGAGUAAACAGCCAUGAAUGACUAAAUGAGGUGGAUGGGAGAGAAUUGCUAGUUUGUUUUCUGUUCACCCAUCAGCCUUCUUCUCAUCAUCCAACUUGGACGUAUGAGAAAAUGCGCGAAAGAACGGCAAUUGAGCAUUUUGCUACGCAUCCAAUUUGAAAUUCUAACGUUUGGAAUUCAAGAGGAAAAUGAGGAGAAAAUAUGUACAUAAAGUGCACAACCACAAGGCAUAAACAACAAUUGACGAUGGGCACAACAAUUGAUUGAUGAGCUGGAGAAAUGUGCUGGACAAGUUCAAAUUAUUUACCGACUUACUGACGCUUUUGGAGUUGUCUUCCAAAUUUCCAUGUAAAAUUCACGUGGAAAACGCAUUGGAGUGCCUCAAAAGCUCUUUCUUGCUUCAUCUUUCCCGCGAGAGAAUUUUUGUGAAUGGAAAAGUCCUGGAAUGCAGUGAAUGGAAGCAUCGUGAGAGAGUGUCAAUCACUGGAAAUGCCAGAUUUGUGAAUUUUAUCUUGGACUGAGUGCAAGUGUCCCCAGAGAGUUAUCAGGCAGUUUUCUUGCAAAUUUUUGGAGUUUUCGAAGAAGCAACAAAAUAAUCACACACCUGGCGAUUCAAUGGACUUUGAGGGGCUAAAUUCACGCGCAAGGUGAGGAAAUGAAGAUGGCACGAGACACAAAACGCAAAAUAGAACACUCCACGCACAAGGGACUUCAAUUUAAAAUCAAUUGAUAUUAAAAUAACUCACCUAUUUUUGGUACAAAAAUCCCUCUCUGGAAAAACAUGGUCUGGAAGCUCGGAAAAGGGAAAAUGGAGAAAAGGAUUAUUAAUGUGAGGCCAUCUAAUGAAUCGUCUCUUAUUUCAAUUUGCAUGACACGUGAUCAUUAUCUUCAAUAGCAGAAUAAUUGAAUGUACCAGGUAAUACUUCUUCUUCCCGUUUUUUUUUCACAUUACUCUCUGAGUAAUUUACAAUUUUGCAAAAUGAUUUGCAAAACAGAGAAACAUGUGAUUAGAUUAAUUGAUAAACAACAGAAUUAGAAAUGUAGAAAAAAAACAUGAGAAAAGCUCAGAUAAAAGCAUGAUAAAAUCUUGAUUGUUUUAGAACAAACUUACUAAUAAACUUACAA